CACUCGAAAUAGACUGAUGUCAUUAUUGGGAUUGGGGGGUACUUUGAGUGUGUACUUUGCAGGACUUCCGACAGAAAGAUUGGGCUCAGAUGUGCGGUGUACACUACGAAACAAAUGUACGUUGUUUUUGAAGAUCACCAACUUGAUGAGUCAGCCUACUGUUCUUGUUUUCCUACGGAGCUCCUGCAAAGUAAUGACAUAUGGAUAGCCAUAUAAAUAUACUUCCGAGGAUGUAUGAAUUUGUAUUACAUUCUGAACGAGACUUUUUCACAAAAGCAAAAAAACAGAAUUGAUUUGUUGCACUGAAGAACACACCGACCCCAAUAUAUCAUGUGUAUUGCAUGACGUUCCAAUGCUUCUCACACCAACAUUUCUGGAUGGAAAUUUUGGAGUUGAUCAGACGUGAACAGAUAAACACCAUCAUGCGUAACUCAGUGUGCUGUUCGGAGCGUCCGCCGAGCAUCUUGCAUGUGGUGAAGGCAUUGGGAGCGAAUUCCCAUCGAAUUGUGUAAUGGAGUUUUUCGCCGAAUUUAAGUAUGUUAGGAUUCACCUGGCUCUGGGGACAUCUACGCCGAAUUGAGGUUUGCAUCCAAUGAUACCUUCAUGACGUUGGCGAAAGCUAUUCAAUCCAACAAGACAAUGUUAGUUGUGUUCGAAAGAAGGAAUCUCCAGCAAGCACCGUUCGAAAGCGUUUCGUUUACUAUAUCUUGCCUCGUCGUUCCCAUCAUCGACAUCGAAGCAAAGUGCGUGUCAAAUUCCUUAUGCAUUUUGUUCCAAAAUCAAUACAGACGACUAGUCCGUGGCAAUUAUUCAUGCCACAUCCCAGUCCUACAAAAAGAUCAGACAGGGAAGCAGGGAGCUCCGAGGGGGCAUGUGUAGAGGGUCUCAUCGACACCUGGAGGUGUCAGGUGAAGGAGGCAAAUGACUCAGAUGGAAUUUUGCGUGGGAUUUUUAGAUUCUCCUUGAGAAUGGAACCAUUCUCGGACCACAACCUGUCCGUGAGGUUAGUUUUGCGGUCUUCGAAGCUGGGUUUGUGAGCUCGCUGCAAACACUCGAUUGGUUUUUCCUCUGCAAGUUAUGCUGUUUCUGCCUGUAACAUUACCCAAAAUUGAGUUCCUUCACUCCGGUUUGAUUUGAAGCUGGUUGGUUCUGGUGUAUGAGGCGCCUAGGACAGAAGGAAGUCAUACCCAAUUCAUAGAACUAUACCAUCCCUUGGUUCCUUCUGGUGGUUUCUAGCGAUUCUCCAGAUUAGGAAUCUAUUCCCUGAUCAGAAACCUGCCUGCGGGGAACCUGUCUAAGCUGACUAUUUUUUCCUCGGACUAAUUCCAAUCGGGUGAAUGUUAAAGAGUUAGGUCUUAGAAUUGCGAGUGCGACUCUUCCAUUCGUUCUGGCCGGCAGGAGUAUUCACUUGGAAUUCUAAUAAGCUUGUUUGUUCCUUUCUGACUGCGACUGAACUUUGCAAACUAGUAGUGCGUGGAUGUGUAAGCUUGCUCAAUCUUCAGGCAAUGAUGAGUUGAAGAUGGCGACAAUGAGAAAGCAGGGAAACUGGUAACAUUUAACAUUGCACUUUAAGUGUGGUCGCGUGGACCAUGGGUGCUUCUGGAUCUAUUAUUGCAUCCUCAGGGGAAGUAUUUGUGAGUCCAGAACUGCAGAACAUGUGUGAUAAAAAUGUUACUCUCAAGACACUGACGAUAAUGCGGAGACCGCUGGGUUCAUUUGGAGGAUAUCAAGGAAGUAAAUUACCUAUUCUCGGACUUGGACAACACGAGUACGUCAUUAUAGAUGCUGCGACGGAGAGGUUUAUCAAGGCGGAGAAAUUCGGGAAAUCGAAGGGAAGGCCUGCAGGCAUCCACAUUGCCCUAGAAUCUGACGAUGAGGCAACAGGGAACUGCCGCAAGAAGGUGAAUCUGAUGGGAGUGAGCAUGCAACUUGCGGAGUUGGUUCAGAUUCUGGGAAGCCCCAGACCUGAUUAUAACCUCUUCACCAACAAUUGCUGGAAGUACGCAUUUUGGACUGCUCACAACUUACUGGGAAGAUGUAUUGCUAAUGUUGGGAUUCCUUUCACUACCCGCCAGGCCCUUCAAAACGAACUCGUAAGCCUGUUAGAGUAUGAUCGCAGUUCGCCAACUCGAUUGAUGAUAACUGGUUUUGUAUCUCCCCGCCUGAACAUUUGAAAAAAAAUACAGCUCCGGUCUUCCACUCAACGAUGAUCGAUUCCUCCCUGGAAUUGAAACUGGACGAACUAAAGUUGCAACAACUACCUUCUUCAGCGAAAACAGAUCUAAAUGCAAACCCCACUCGGAGGAUCACAAUCCAACUAUCCCGUAGUGCCCAUGGCAACAAUGACAUGUUUUUACUUAUCAUUGUAUGUAAUAGUUGUGCAAAAGUUACUAACACAGUCCCAUUCGUCUUAGCCACACUGCUAUAGUUUACACUUCUCAGAAACGUUGCGCAGGCCCACACCCUUUGUGGUACUUCAUUGGAAGCUUAUGAGUGCAGCCAACACAUAGAUCUCAUUUACAAAGUCUACAACUAAAUUCCACGAGCUCCAAUUGGUUUGUCAGCAUCCAUCAAACGUAUCGUAUACCAUGACAGUGUCGUGUAGGUGGAAGUUCUACACGGACAAAGGUGAUAGCUUGGGUGUACUAGACAACGAUAAGGCUUCCGCUCCUCUGGAGUCCUGGCGACUGUCAAGAGGAGUUUUUGGAUAGCAGUUUGUGCAGACCAUCCAUCAGCAUCCAGAAUGUAUUCACCUCCAUGGAUCACCAGUGCUGCGAAUGGACGAUGGUGAGGUUUCUGCAAACAAAGGUGAGGCCCCACCUGUUCCACUGAGCGGCGCUAAGCUACAGAUGUCAAGUGACAUAUUAACCUCAAAAGCUUUCAAUAUGAACAUCUCUGAUGGUGUGUGAAACUAGGACACUGGCGUUGCUACUGUUUCCAUCACAUUGCUGACACCGCAAAGUACAAUUCAAUUUGCAUUCUUCUCUAAAUUAAUCAAAAUACGAGUAUUUAAACAUCAGGAUUAGUAGAUUAGUAGGUCCACCUUGAAGGUAUCGGUGUCUCUACAUGCAGAAGAAAAUCUGAUCCAUAAAGAGAUAAAGAAUCGGACACUUGCUUGAGACAAUGGUGAUAAUCUUUACUUCUGUCCCUUUACAUUGAUAUCCAAAAAUCAUUUGCAUUAGUAUCAUCA